UAGCUCAGAGGUUAAAGUGUCUGCCUGGAAUGCAGGAGACCAGGGUUCGAUCCCUG
rnacentral:tRNA from 1 species